rnacentral:rRNA from 1 species
AGUGAACGCUGGCGGUAGGCCUAACACAUGCCAGUCGAACGGCAGCACAGUAAGAGCUUGCUCUUACGGGUGGCGAGUGGCGGACGGGUGAGGAAUACAUCGGAAUCUACUUUUUCGUGGGGGAUAACGUAGGGAAACUUACGCUAAUACCGCAUACGACCUACGGGUGAAAGCAGGGGAUCUUCGGACCUUGCGCGAUUGAAUGAGCCGAUGUCGGAUUAGCUAGUUGGCGGGGUAAAGGCCCACCAAGGCGACGAUCCGUAGCUGGUCUGAGAGGAUGAUCAGCCACACUGGAACUGAGAAACGGUCCAGACUCCUACGGGAGGCAGCAGUGGGGAAUAUUGGACAAGGGGCGCAAGCCUGAACCAGCCAUACCGCGGGGGUGAAGAAGGCCUUCGGGUUGUAAAGCCCUUUUGUUGGGAAAGAAAAGCAGCAGGUUAAUACCCCGCUGUUCUGACGGUACCCAAAGAAUAAGCACCGGCUAACUUCGU